UGGGGUAGCUCAGUAGGUAGAGCAUUUCCAUGGUAAGGAAAAGGUCGUGGGUUCGAUUCCCACUCCC
rnacentral:tRNA from 1 species